CCUACGGGUGGCAGCAGUGGGGAAUAUUGGACAAUGGGGGGAACCCUGAGCCAGCCAUGCCGCGUGUGUGAAGAAGGCCCUCGGGUUGUAAAGCACUUUCAGUGAGGAAGAACGCCUGGUGGUUAAUACCCAUCAGGAAAGACAUCACUCACAGAAGAAGCACCGGCUAACUCCGUGCCAGCAGCCGCGGUAAUACGGAGGGUGCGAGCGUUAAUCGGAAUUACUGGGCGUAAAGCGCGCGUAGGUGGCUUGAUAAGCCGGUUGUGAAAGCCCCGGGCUCAACCUGGGAACGGCAUCCGGAACUGUCAAGCUAGAGUGCAGGAGAGGAAGGUAGAAUUCCCGGUGUAGCGGUGAAAUGCGUAGAGAUCGGGAGGAAUACCAGUGGCGAAGGCGGCCUUCUGGACUGACACUGACACUGAGGUGCGAAAGCGUGGGUAGCAAACAGGAUUAGAUACCCGUGUAGUC
rnacentral:rRNA from 1 species